CUCUCUGCUCUCUCUCUGCUCUCUCUCUCUCUCGCGUCGAAGCCCUGUCUCUCUCUCUGCUCUAUCUCUUUAGAUGAAAAAGAUGCAGACAAGAUGAUGCUGUAGAUUCGAUAUAGUCUCCCUAUUCGAGUUGUCUCUCUGGUUCGCCUCUCUAGUCUCCUAUUCGAGUAUCUCUUUGGUUCGCCUCUCUAUUCGAGUUCUCUCUCUGGUUUGGACACAACAAACAGCCAUUUGGAGCCAUAAUUUUUUCAAAUUUUAGACGACUAUACACAUCAAUUUGGAGCAAAAAAAUCAAGAUUUAUUAUAAGUGAAAUUGCAAAUUUGGAAGAACUUAGGAACAAAAUAGCCAAGCGAGUUGAGGAGCUUUCCAUUGAGGGUUCUGUCCCAACACCAUCUCCAUCUGGGAACUCCAUUGGAGCUAUCAAUCUGAAUGUUUCUAACCCAGCUAAGAUGAAUGAUUAUGUUCAUUCUUGGCUUUAGUGAACCAAUAAGUUGGAGAAGGGUCUGUCUUAGCUGCGGUUUUCCGUGGAUGUGCAUUACACAUCAAUUUGGAGCAAAAAAUCAAGAUUUGGAAGAACUGAGGAACAAAAUAGCUAAGCGAGUUGAGGAGCUUUCCAUUGAGGGUUAUGUCCUAACACCAUCUCCAUUUGGUAACUUCAUUGGAGCUACCGAUCAGAAUGUUCCUAACCCUGCUGAUAUGAAUGAUUCUGUUCAUCCUUGGCUCUACUGAACUAGUCUUCUCUACAAGGACUACCAGAGCGACCAGAAGUUUAGUGUCACUACUUACUCUUCUACUGGUGUUCCAAUUACAUGGAUAAUUCUUGGAUUCAUCAUCACACUAGGGGUAGUCGAAAGUAUUUUGAUGGCAAAAAAAGCUUCAUUAAGGUGGCUAGUCGUCAUGCAACGUCAGACCGUAGGUCUCGAUGUCCGUGUUGUCGUUGCAAAAACAUUAUGGGGUAUAUUCAAAUUGAAGAAAUUGAGCAGCAUCUCUUAAGUUAUGGGAUGGACAGGGAGUAUACCAAUUAGAUAUAUCACGGGGAGGUUCCUCAAAGCAACAAUAAUGUUAUUAAUGAUGCUAAUGUUAGUGAGGGAGCUAUCCAAGAUGAAGAUGGAAAUAUAGAUAAUGUAUUUGAGAAGUUGGAUAACGUACAAAUGGGAACCUUCGCUAAUGCACAACAAGAAGAUUCGCCUGAAAUUGAUGUGGGAGGAGGAAGCUUUGAUAAAUUGUUAAAAGAUGCACAUUGUGAAUUGUGGCCAGGUUGUACAAAAUUCUUUAAAUUGUCAGCAAUAUUAAAGUUGUUCCAUGUGAAGGUUUCAAGCCGAAUGAGCAAAAAAGCAUUUGACAUGAUGCUUGAGGCAUAUAAGGAAAUGCUCCCUAAUGGCAAUGUGUUACCAAAAUCUCAUUACUAGAUUAAAAGCUUGUUGCGAGAUUUGGGUCUCGGAUACGAGUGUAUCUAUACAUGUAAACAUGAUUGUGUUCUAUUUUGGAAGGAGAAUGCAGAUAAAGAAAACUGUCCACAAUGUGGUGAGUCGAGGUAUAAACCUCACAAAGGUAAGGAUAAGAAAAUCCCUCAAAAGGUUCUUCGGCAUUUCGCUUUAAAAUCAAGACUACAACGGUUAUUUAUAUCGAAGGAUACAGCCUUAGACAUGCGGUGGCAUAAGGAGAAAAGUAUGAAGGAGACAACUGAGUUAAGACAUCUAGCUGAUUCAAAAGCUUAGGAGGAUUUUGAUAAUAGGCAUAGUUGGUUUGCUGCAGAUCCUCGAAAUGUUCGUAUCGGAUUAGCAACUGAUGGAUUCAAUCUAUUUGGUAACAUGAGCAAUGCCUAUAGUAUGUGACCUGUGAUGAUUGUGCCUUACAAUUUGCCACCUUGGAUAUAUAUGAUUGAACCAUAUGUGUUUAUGUCAUUGCUUAUUCCUGGUCCAACAUCACCUGGUGAUGACAUUGAUGUCUAUUUGCGACCUUUGGUUAAAGAGUUUAAAGAAUUGUGGAGGGAUGGUGUGAUGACGUGUGAUGCCUAUAUUAAAUGUAACUUUAAAAUACAUGCAACAAUGAUUUGGACCAUUAUUGACUUUUUUGCCUAUGUGAUGGCAUAUGGAUGGAUGAUAAAGGGUUAUCUAGCAUGUUCGAAUUGUAAUGAACAAACAUGCUCUUGUUAUUUGAAACACGGAUGGAAGAUAUGUUAUUUAAGAAGUUGUAUGUUUUUGUCGUUAGAUCAUGUUUUCAGGAAGCGUUACAAGCAAUUUAAUGGUGAGAAGCAAGACAAAGGCCCACCAAAUUAGUUAAUAGGUGAUGAUAUUUUGGAGCAACUUAAACUUAUACUUGAGGUUAGUUUCAGAAAGGGACCAAAUAACAAGAAGUGAACUCGUGAGGAAUUUGAACUUAACUGGACAAAGAAGAGUAUUUUCUUUAAACUACCUUAUUGGUAGACCUUUUUGUUGCGGCAUAACCUGGACGUUAUGCAUAUAGAGAAAAACAUAUGCGAUAAUGUGUUGGGGACAUUAUUGGACAUCGAAGGAAAAAUGAAAGACACAUUCAAAAGUCGGUUGGAUUUAGAAGUAAUGAAAAUUAGAAAAGAACUCCAACUUAGGCGUAAUGGUGAAAAAUUUGAGAUGCCAUGAGCACGCUACACAAUGUCAAAGAAUGAUAAAAGGCAACUGUGUGAAUAGCUAAAAUCGGUUAAGUUUCCAGAUGGCUAUGCAUUAAACAUAAGUCGGUGUAUGAAUGUUAAUAACUGUAAGAUAUCUGGAUUGAAAAGUCAUGAUUCACAUGUUCUCUUACAGCGUCUCCUCCCUAUAGCUAUACGAGGAUUCUUAGAUUCUAAUAUUUGUAACACAAUAGCAAAGCUUGGUUUAUUCUUUAAAGAAUUGUGUUGUCAAACUCUUAAACUGGAUGUCUUAGAGGCAAUAGAAAGGGACAUUGCUGUUGUAUUAUGAAAGUUGGAGAUGAUAUUUCCUCCGUCAUUUUUUGACAUUAUGGUCCACUUGGCUUUGCAUUUGCCUCAUGAAGCCAUCAUCGUAGGCCCCGCACAAUAUCGGUGGAUGUACCCCAUUGGUGCUGUAUUUUUUGAGUACACCAACAUUAUUUUUAUGACAAGUUUUAUCGGUCUGUUAUAGAUAUAAAAUUCUGUAAUACUUUUAAUGAUUAUAUAGAUUUUUGUGUACUCUCAAAUUGUGUGUGCAUAACAAAGCACGUCCUGAAGGGUCCGUUGCUGAAGCUUACGUGGAUAGUGAAUGCGUCACAUUUUGUUCAAAAUUUCUCGGAGGGAUUGAGACAUGGUUCAAUCGAGAAGAAAGAAAUAGUAAGAGGGACUACAACAAUAAUUGGUCUACUAGUUCAGAUCUAAAGCAAGUGGUUCGACCUCUAGGGGAGCAAAAAUUGGAGAUAUUACCUCGUGAGGAGUUAGAGAUGACCCGAUUGUACGUGUUACAAAAUUCUGGAAUAGUUGAGUCAUACGGAGAGUAAGUAACUCAUUUCAUGUUAUGCCUUAUUAGAUUAUGUGAAUAUAUGGUGUAUUUGUUAAUACAUGUACACAAUUAUAUCUUAACAUCAUGUAAUUGCUUAGAAAACACAAGGUAGAACUUGAGAGACAAGAUCCGUGCAAUGUUCCUAAAAGACAUGCAAAAGAAUUUUCGAGAUGGUUUGAAAAACAAGUAAGUCCAUCGUGUACAUAUUGGAAUUAAUUAAAUCAUAUUCUUUCAUUAAUUUAAAUGAUGUCAUUCAUUCGCUUAACAUUAUAUUUUUUCAAUAGAUAAAGGAAAUGCGUCAUCAUCAAAGGGAAAUAACUAGUGAUGAUUUGUAUUCUUUAGCAUGUGGACCUCUAAGUCGAGUAAGUCGAUAUUCUGCUUGCAUUGUAAAUGGGAUUAGGUUCCAUACUAAGGAAAGGGAGCGAAAUCGACGAACACAGAAUAAUGGUGUGUUAGUGAAAGGAGAAAGCGAAGAUUACUAUGGUGUUCUAACAGAUAUCAUUGAGUUACAAUAUCUUUUGGGUAGACAAGUUUUUCUUUUCAAAUAUGAUUAGUUUGAUGUUAGGAGUGGUAUACAUAAAGAUACCUAUUUCAUGAGCGUAAAUGUAGCUAGUAAAGUAUACAAAAAUGAGCCAUUUGUAUUAGCAAAUCAAGCAAAACAAUGCUUCUACGUCAAAUACAACAAAUUGCAAGGAACAUGGGAGGUAGUUUAAGAUAUAACAAAUAGAAGCUCGUUUGAUGUACUUGAAGUAGAGGUUGAAGCCGGAGUAGAAGAUGAAAUGCUCAAUUCUCCAGCAUACCAAGAGAAUGAACCAAGCAUCGUUGAUAGGGUGGUUAAAGCAAACUUGGACAUGGAUCCACUCCCUUUGAACAGGGGUGAUUUGGAAAGUGAAAUUCUUGAUGCUGAAAUGAUUCAAAAAUGUAGGGGUGAAGCAGCAAUUAAUGAGGACUUUUGGGUUGUCGAGAAUGAUAAUGGAACUGACAUUGACAAUAGUUCAAAUGAGAAACUAGAAUUACUAUUCGAAGAUGAUACUGAUUUGGAUGACAUGUGAAACUUUCGUAAUGUUGAGCAUGGACAUUAUUUCCUUUGUUUUGAUCUAGUUCUAGUUUGUAGCUAGUUUGGCUUUUUCUUUUGUGCCUUGAGCUUUUGGUUCCCCUUUGUUUUGAUUGUUUGCUCCUUUAAUAGAUAUGCAACUUAUAUAAAGUUUUUAGCUGUAACUGACCAUCCUCCAAUCAUAUAUAGCAGAAAAUGUUCAUAUCUUGUUUGCUUCUUUAAUAGAAUAUGAUAGCUGGACAUAUCAUGGAAUCCGAUUCCUUGAGAUAGAUCUCAUUUUUUAUGUUGCUACAGUUUUUGCCAUUUGAUUUCUAUUAGACUAAUUAUAGAUCACUAAAUUUACAUUUUCUGUUUAUAUUAUGAAGCAUGGUAGUUUAAUAAUUAUGGACACCUCUGAGGCUCCAAUGCGUAGAGUAUUAAGGUCCCGAGUGGCUCAAACUGAGCCACCAGCUAUAAGUUUACCUGCUAGCUUGCCUUAAACUGAGGCACCAUCUACAAGUUUACCUGCUACACAGCAGAAUGGAGAAGGUGGUGGUAGUAAUUUAACAAAUCAGCAGCCUAGUAUUGAAGGUGACGGUAGUAAUUCAUAGACGAGGCCACAACCAAGUAGAAGUGAUAAAUAUGCUUCAUCAUUGAUUAACCAUAAGCUCUUUUGUAAAAUGCCUAUGUUUUAAUUAAGAUGACAAAUUUAUUU